rnacentral:rRNA from 1 species
UACGAAGGGGGCUAGCGUUGCUCGGAAUCACUGGGCGUAAAGGGUGCGUAGGCGGGUUUUUAAGUCAGAGGUGAAAUCCUGGAGCUCAACUCCAGAACUGCCUUUGAUACUGAGGAUCUUGAGUUCGGGAGAGGUGAGUGGAACUGCGAGUGUAGAGGUGAAAUUCGUAGAUAUUCGCAAGAACACCAGUGGCGAAGGCGGCUCACUGGCCCGGAACUGACGCUGAGACGCGAAAGCGUGGGGAGCAAACAGG